rnacentral:rRNA from 1 species
UGGGGAAUUUUGGACAAUGGGGGAAACCCUGAUCCAGCCAUCCCGCGUGUGCGAUGAAGGCCUUCGGGUUGUAAAGCACUUUUGGAAGGAAAGAAACGUCAUGGGUUAAUACCCCGUGAAACUGACGGUACCUGCAGAAUAAGCACCGGCUAACUACGUGCCAGCAGCCGCGGUAAUACGUAGGGUGCAAGCGUUAAUCGGAAUUACUGGGCGUAAAGCGUGCGCAGGCGGUUCGGAAAGAAAGAUGUGAAAUCCCAGAGCUCAACUUUGGAACUGCAUUUUUAACUACCGGGCUAGAGUGUGUCAGAGGGAGGUGGAAUUCCGCGUGUAGCAGUGAAAUGCGUAGAUAUGCGGAGGAACACCGAUGGCGAAGGCAGCCUCCUGGGAUAACACUGACGCUCAUGCACGAAAGCGUGGGGAGCAAACAGG